rnacentral:rRNA from 1 species
AUUGAACGCUGGCGGCAGGCCUAACACAUGCAAGUCGAACGGUAACAGGAAGCAGCUUGCUGCUUCGCUGACGAGUGGCGGACGGGUGAGUAAUGUCUGGGAAGCUGCCUGAUGGAGGGGGAUAACUACUGGAAACGGUAGCUAAUACCGCAUAAUGUCGCAAGACCAAAGAGGGGGACCUUCGGGCCUCUUGCCAUCUGAUGUGCCCAGAUGGGAUUAGCUUGUUGGUGGGGUAACGGCUCACCAAGGCGACGAUCCCUAGCUGGUCUGAGAGGAUGACCAGCCACACUGGGACUGAGACACGGUCCAGACUCCUACGGGAGGCAGCAGUGGGGAAUAUUGCACAAUGGGCGCAAGCCUGAUGCAGCCAUGCCGCGUGUAUGAAGAAGGCCUUCGGGUUGUAAAGUACUUUCAGCGGGGAGGAAGGGAGUAAAGUUAAUACCUUUGCUCAUUGACGUUACCCGCAGAAGAAGCACCGGCUAACUCCGUG